rnacentral:sRNA from 1 species
GGAAUGUUCUUUUUUAUUUUAUUCCUUUCAUCAUCUCAAACAUAACCUCUCAUCCAGGAAUUUUGCCAAGAUUUAAUAAAUCAAUUGUCUUGCUUAACCCUUAUAUAAAAAGCAAAUCUUUUUUAAUUAGACACAAAUAAUAUCGGCACAACAGGUUGCUAUAAAAUUAAUGCAUAAAUUUUAUCCUUGAAAACCAUUGCUAUG